rnacentral:lncRNA from 1 species
AUAAUAAGUGGAUCUAAACACAUGAACAAAAUAAGAAUAAACAAAAACAACAAAAACAAAAUACAAAUUACAUGAACAUAUAUAAACAGAAGAUACAAAUAUUACAGGCAUCUCCCCACAUACACACGCUAAAUAAACAUAAACGCACAUAGAGAUAUAAGCAUGCGCAAAUGAAGACAUACAAUAGAAAUACAAAAUGGCUGACGGUUAGUAAGGAGAGACACAAAUAAGAAAGAAGAAAACAAAGGACCACUGAUGCGGUCACAGGAGUGUGACGAAAGAACUCUGGCCGAAAUAAGAUUAAGAUUAAUGUAAAAAAUAAAUAACACUGAAGCAAAAUAACACCAAAUAUAUAGUGCGUGUGUUUUUAUUGGCUAAACUGGCAAUAUGACCAUUCCUAAAUAUAACAAUAUCUGUUUCAACACACGAUUUCACAUAAAAAAUCUUGCACAACAAAUAUUUAAACGUACUAACUAUAAUUAUAUAUUAUUCAUAUAAUAUUAUGGUUCCAUUAGAGCGAUUAAAUCUAUAUAAUUGACCGAAAAGAAGAUGGACCGAACCAGGACCUAUGUGUGUCUCUGUAAUUUACAACCUGCGGGUUAAUUUACAAAUUUAUAUAUAUAUAUAUAUAUAUAUAUAUAUAUAUAUAUAUAUAUAUAUAUAUAUAUAUAUGUCGGACAGUUGUUCAUAAGUUCCAAAAGAAGUAGACUCUAAAAAGUUUAUUCAGCUGUAAUACUUUAGUAAUUUAUGUAGAGGUUUGUUAUGGCCGAGCAGGAAGUUACAGUUGGUUUCAUGUCUAUUGUUGCUCCUAGCAAUAUAGGCAGCUAAUCUGACCUGCUGGUCGGAGGUACUGCACUUUUUACUAAUAGAGGUAAGAAUAUAAUAUUGGUCGGUAAUGUUGUGAAUAUAACUUGAAACGAAAUUUUUCGACGCAUCAAUGAUGCAAUAUGAUCAUAAACUUUGUUAUACAAUAAUAAACUUUAUUAUACAAAUUUUCUGUGACUUUUACAUUUCUUCUUGUCGAGAUGGACCUAUUUCCCUUUGAAUGGUUCCAGUUGUGACUGAUAAGGGUCAGUUAAUUUCUAUUCACUACCCAGCAAGCGGGAGAAGUUCAUAUCUCCAACAUGAAUUUUCUUUCUUGAGAGCACCGACUAAAAAUUUCAGUUUUUGAAUUUAAGAAGGCCACCAGAUUAAGCGAAUAUUUUCAGAUUGUUUUUUCAAAACCUCGUUAACCAUGACUGAAUUCUUACUUCCAUUUGUAGGGAAGUUAUGUACCACUGGCCAGCAGGUCUGCUAAAAGCAAUAACAGACGUGAAACCAAUGGUAAUUUUCUGACUAAUAACUAAGAGUCAUAUAUAUAUAUAUAUAUAUAUAUAUAUAUAUAUACUCUUUACUCUUUUACUCUUUUACUUGUUUCAGUCAUUUGACUGCGGCCAUGCUGGAGCACCGCCUUUAAUCGAGCAACUCAACCCCGGGACUUAUUCUUUUGUAAGCCCAGUACUUAUUUUAUCGGUCUCUUUUUGCCGAACCGCUCAGUAACGGGGACAUAAACACACCAGCAUCGGUUGUCAAGCAAUGCUAGGGGGACAAAUACAGACACACAAACACACACACGCAUAUAUAUAUACAUAUAUACGACGGGCUUCUUUCAGUUUCCGUCUACCAAAUCCACUCACAAGGCUUUGGUCGGCCCGAGGCUAUAGUAGAAGACACUUGCCCAAGGUGCCACGCAGUGGGACUGAACCCGGAACCAUGUGGUUGGUAAACAAGCUACUUACCACACAGCCACUCCUGCGCCUAUAUAUAUAUAUAUAUAUAUAUAUAUAUAUAUAUAUAUAUAUAUAUAUAUAUAUAUAUAUAUUGCUGUUUAGGCUUGCAAUAUGGCCAGGUGGUUUAAAAAGGUCGUUUUGCAACCACGAGGUCCUGAAUUCGAUCUCACUGUGUGAUAUCCUUGGCAAAUGUCGUUCUGUAUACCCUCUGGCUGACCCAAAAUUUGUGCGGGAAACUGGAUAGUUGCAAACUGUCUAGAAGUCUGCCGGGCGGAUUAUAUCUCUGAUUCCGACAUACAUCCUUGUCGCACAAUGUAUCACUCUAAUUCUACCUGAGAAUUACGUUUAUACGGUAAUUCUACAUCAGCUAAUUCAGUUGAUCGAACAACUAACUAUUAUCGUCAGCGCCGAACAGAGAUCCAGCACCAUGUAUAAUGCAGUAGAAAUAGCCUAUUCUGAUCAUUUCGGGGUGGAACUGUUCAGAUAACUAUAUGCAACCGAUUAUAUUAAGCACCGAGUAUCACAAAAUCUUGAACGAGUUUAGGAGUCACUAAUGUUCAUUACUGUAACCAUUUGACAAAAUUAUUUGUCAUUAUAAUAAGCUGUUUGCACUCCAUAUAACAGUGUCCGUUUGUUGUUUGUGACGGCUGCAAGAAACACUACUUUCAAUUGAUCAAGAAUGCUUAAUUAACCAAAUUGUUGCUGUUAUUUGUGUGCAUGUAAGCUUGUGUUUGUGUACGUGAUAGAAAAUAUGCGUGUGUGCAUGAGUGUGUGUGUGAGUGCGCAUAAUGUAGAUUAUAUUGCCACGGUAAACUGGCUGACUUUUAUAUCACAAGCCAAAAUGAAAGAAUCUGAGUCAAAAGACGUCUUCAUCUUGUUUUGCUGUCGCCACUUUCGUUGUUUAUCGUUGUUAUACACUUACUAUCCCACAAUGUCACCGUCACUGCCUUCUGCAAUCUUUGUUGUAUUUCUCCUCCAUUUCUCUAUCUUUCCUCUCUCUCGCUUUCUGUCCCUUCUCUCUCUCUCUCUCUCGCUUUCUGUCCCUUCUCUCUCUCUCUCUCUCUCUCUCUCUCUCUCUUUCUAUUGAUAGAUAGAUAGAUAGAUAGAUAGAUAGAUAGACAGACAGAUAGAUCACGUCUACGGUAAUUCAACUAAUUAUGAGUUCUCUUUACACACAUACGCACACUCACACACGCGCACACUCACACUCACACACACACGCUCACACACACAUGUACGCUCACAUACACAUACUCCCAAUUUAUGGAUAGAAAGACGAUCAAAUAUUAUUUUAUAAUUUCGUCUAGUUAUUCCACGUACUGCAAAAUAUAUUGAUAUUUUAUAAACUUACGAAAAUGUAAUUUCUUAUUUUAGUCCCACCGUUAUAUGUCCCACAUCCACAAAGGAGUGCUAUCUUAGCUCUCUGUUGACUUUUGGCACAGUUUUAUCAAGAGUCCUUCAUUGUGUGGUUCGAUGUAAUCAUCUCGUAUCUCCAGAUUCAGUACAGUAUUCUGUUUGUCUUCCAUUAGAAUAUUUCGUAAUCUACAGAGUGGGGAAGCAAAACUUGCAUUAAAAGUUACACUAAUAUUUCACGGCAACCACUACACAAAAUGUUAUGAAACCUAAUGGAGUACAAAGAAUACAUUGUCAGCCAAUAAUAAAUUCUUUUUUCUUUCUUUUCGCAGGAAUAUUGAAGAAUGACUGCGCAGGAAGACAAACGCCAAAGUCGAUCCGAAGAGGAUCUCAAGCAUAGUCGGAGUAUCCUUGCACUCAGUUUAUAACGCCAAGAAGAGAAUGGGCAUGAGUAAUGGCAUUCAGAGGAAGUCUAGCAGCGGUGGGGCCAACAAGAAACGGAAUCAUGACUUCAUUAAUAUCCUCAAGUCCAAAAUUUCAUCGGACCCAACCGCAUCCAUGAAGAGGCUGGC